UACCAUAAAAGGUGUUGGUUGAUAUAGACAGCNGGACGGUGGCCNNGGAAUCCGCUAGGAGUNUGUAACAACUCACCUGCCNAAUCAACUAGCCCUGAAAAUGGAUGGCGCUGNAGCNUCGAGCCUAUACCGGNNCGUCGCCGCAAUACGAGCCNCCAGGGAGCCAUGCGGCGACGAGUAGGAGGGCCGUCGUGGUGAGCGUAGAAGCCCGGCGAGUGAUCGCG
rnacentral:rRNA from 1 species